UAGCUCUCGCGUUGUUAUGACAUGCCCGUGAUGAUUGGGUAAUGACGGUGACUCGUAGCGUUUCUGCCGAAAUGCAUGGGAAGUUGAGGCAACCACGACUGGUGUUGGGGGAGAACGGUGUAGAUCGGGAUAAAGUUUAAAAAAAGAAAAGGAGCAGCAGACUUACGUUUGAAGACAGCUGCCGUAUGGCAAAGCGAAACAGCUUGGUGUCUAGAUUUUGGAAACUACAACUAUUUCUGGGAUUCGUAUUCAUCUUCUCUUUUUGAAGAGGAGGAGAGGAGGAUGAAUGAAAGCAGGCACUCCCUGCCUCUUCCAUAAGCCUCUCCUGUCCCUCACCGCAACUCCC